rnacentral:rRNA from 1 species
AGAGUUUGAUUCUGGCUCAGGAUAAACGCUGGCGGCGCACAUAAGACAUGCAAGUCGAACGGACUUAACCAUUAGUUUACUAUUGGAGCGGUUAGUGGCGGACUGGUGAGUAACGCGUAAGUAAUCUGCCUAUAAGAGGGGAAUAACAGUGAGAAAUCAUUGCUAAUACCGCAUAAGCUCUAAGUAUCGCAUGAUACAAAGAGAAAAGGAGAAAUCCGCUUAUAGAUGAACUUGCGUCUGAUUAGUUAGUUGGUGAGGUAAAGGCCCACCAAGACGAUGAUCAGUAGCCGGACUGAGAGGUUGAACGGCCACAUUGGGACUGAGAUACGGCCCAGACUCCUACGGGAGGCAGCAGUCGGGAAUAUUGCGCAAUGGAGGAAACUCUGACGCAGUGACGCCGCGUGC